rnacentral:lncRNA from 1 species
GAGGUUUGCUGGUCUGCUUGAGGUUAUGUAUUAGAGACUACUUGAUAUAUACUCAAGAAUGUUUCGAGCAAAUCGAUCACCAAAACUUCAUAUGAGAUAUGGACUUGGAUAACUUGAUACUCAUUUAUCUUAGGUUUGGGGUGUUGAACUUAUAUGAAAUAUUCAUAAACCGACUAGCUUGGAUCUUGAUCUGAUAAAUAUUAUUUUAGAGAUAUUUCUUUUACCUUCCUGAUGGACAUGAGAUGUUCAUGAAUCUUAAGAUAUUUCUUUUAGA